UCAGAUCCCAGCACUGGUGAGAAGAAUGGAGACACUAAAGAAACAUAAACUGUACCUGCAAAAACAGAUAAACUGAAGGCUGCAAACCCAGGAAAGCAGGACUUACUAGACAAGAAGCUGGACUCACUGGCCAAGGAACUUGCUGACAAUGUGCAGGAGAUUAACUCUGUCUUGGAGAAAAUGGGACCAGUGGGAGAGAGGUACAGGAACCAGCAUAGGUUUGAGAAAGACAAGAACUCUGAGUCUACAUGAACAUCUAGGUCUGAAACCUUGCAGUCCCAUGUAAGACCCAUAUUACAGCCAGCAACUCUUCCUUUUGAGGAGAGAGAGUUGUACAAGAAAAGAACAUCUAAUCAACAACAGCCAAGUCCUGCAUCAGCCCCUGGUGAGGUACUACAAGUCCCAGCAAAUCAACUUGACAGAGUGGAUUUCUAUGAUAACAUGGCUGACUGGUGGGAAGAUGUCAAGGAGGAGAUUAAGAAGGGGAAGAUACAACAAAUUAAGAAAUGCUGGUACACAGGCCGGGACAGGUUCCGGAGAGAAAUGAACACUAAACACAGGAGCAGUGACGGUGGGGAAAAAAAGAAACCGUAUAUGUAUACACGUCAGCUCCAAUUUCUAAAACAAAUGAUGGAACUAAGAACAACUGUUGACAACCUCCCCGAAUGUUCAUCUUAACGAGCACCGUCCACUGAAGAGGAGCCAAGACAAGUGGAGGACGGAGACCAGGAGACCAGGAGGCCUUGGGCGAAUCUUCCGUUUCACAAGGGCUGCAGCCUUCGGGGGAAACCGAUGUUAAUCAGAACGCCGUGCAGCCAAUCCCUGAGGUCAUCCCAGUAGAAGCUGCUGCACCAGUUUGCCGUUCAUCUGGCAGGCGAGGUCGACGUGUCAUGAUCUAUUCCGGUUUAGACCUUCGAGCCCAGUUGAUACUAUGGUGCUCGAAUAUCUAAACCGUAAUCGAUCUGACGGCAAGGAAGAGUUAGCUUUAAAAGGGCUAGCUCCUUCAUUGGGCCGUGUGCCAGAUAAACCGCAAACUCGGUGCCUUGCAACUUUAGCGCUGGCGAUUGAUCAAUUUGCAGGGUCUCAGGAGCCACAUUCCCUUGUCAAUUAUGUUAAAAAGUCCCGAAAUCAAAUGCUUAAUCCUGUUACCGUUCCUUCCCGUAA